UCCACAUUAGUGUCCUCAGUAUUGUUGAACAUUCUCUUCCUCACACAAGUGAAUGUCUUUCCAGUGCAAGGAUGGAAAUGACUGUGGAACCAGGAAUGCACUUCCUUUGGCCACUCAUGAAGUUGCUCAACACCUGUGUGUGAGCUGAGUCAGCCUAACGCAAUACCAGGAAGCAGAAGGAGUGACAAGCAAGUACCCUUGGCAGUGCCUGUAUGGACAGACACAUACAAGCCAAGGGGUGGAGUGGAGUCCCCCAGUUUCAAAGAGCAAGUGUUUAACAAGUCAGUCUGCUUGUGUUUCUCAGGCCAGGAGGGACAGUGCCUGAAUUCAGAGAGGUACUGUCACAAGAAAGAGAACCUGAAGUAAGAGGAGCCUGCUUACCAAGACUCAAAGAAACAAAAAGAUCCCACACCUGAAUUUAACCAGUCUCACUCAGGUGGAUUUUAUUUAAAUGUUGACUCAAAGGCAAUGCAGCAGGCACUAGGGAGGAGCCUCAUUGUGGUCAGUGAUUGAAAUAGAGCAGAUCUAAUGUAGAAGAAAGCCUGUCUGAAUGGUAACGAGGAGAUGCCGAGGGAAACUAGACAACUACAAAGGGUGGAGACAAAUGUUGAUGUACACUAUCACUGCUGCCAUGGGAGAAGUCAGAUAAGGAAAGACUAUCCCUUAUUCUUAAGUUGGUCCUUUGGGCCUUUCCCAGAUGAGUUUCAAUGGAGUGGUCAAAAAAGGAAGACUAUAUUCUGAAGAAAUGCAGACACUAGCCACCAGGUUCCAGAUGCUACCAUGAUGCCAACCGGACUUCCCAGGACAGAUGACCUCACCAAUGUGUCCUGGAGCUCCGCUUCCCCAGAACCCUGCCCCACUAGGGAAAGAGAGAAACAGGCUGGGAGUAUGGAUCUACCUGUCAAUGCCCAUGUUCAGUGGGGAAGCAAUUACUGAAGCCAGACCUUCCACCUUCUGCACCUCAUAAUGACCCUGGGUCCAUACUCUCAGAAGUUUAAAGAAUAGGGAAGCUAUCAGGGGAGGGGAUGGGAUACAGAGCUCUGGUGUUGGGAAUUGUACCCCUCUUAUCCUAUGGUCUUGUUAGUGUUUCCAUUUUAUAAAUAAAUAAAUUUAAAAAAAUACUUUUGCCACAUGACCUAAGUGUGCAGGCCUGUGUGAGUGUAUAUGUGCAUGGAUGCACACACACACACACACACACACAUACACACACACAUUUUCAUAUAUAGGACUGGCUGCCAUUAAGACAUAGCAUUAUAACAAAGCAUGAUUGCUCUGAAGAUUACAAACCUUACUGAUGUCAUUUUCCACUCCUGUUACACAAUCCAGGUGCCAACCAGUCCAACAACACACCAAAGACUCUGGCACUGUUAUUGUAGGAA